ensembl:lncRNA
GAGAGAGAGAGAGAGAGAGAGAGAGAGAGAGAGAGGGUGAUGGAGAGAGGGAGAGUUGGGGACUGAGAGAUGGAGAGAGAGGCAGGGUUAGAGAUAAAGGGAUAAAAAUAGAGAGAUGGGGGAGAGAGAGGGGGAGGGAGGGGCACGAGUUUUAAACAAUAGCACAGGAACUCCCGAACAGAAACAUUAGGCCGUCAAGACGGGAAGAGCCUCCGUACGUUCAGUCUCAACGCUCUGCAUUCAACAAUAAAUAAAUGAACCUUUGGAGUUUCGAGUUCAGCCAUGAUAAUAGCAAAAGAGUUUGUACAUGUUGGAGGAGCACUGGAGCUCUUUGGUUGUGUAACACGGAGGUGUCGGUGGCAUCAGUAAAUCUUUAAUCCUCUGCUUCUCCAACCUUUGGGUCUAAGCUGCAUGAAAUAGAAAGCAAAUGUUCGCUCUUUCUCCCGAAAAAACGAUAAGCGAUAAACGAUAACACGGGGCCAACUUAACAGACGGGUUAAGUCGUUUUGGUUUUAUCUUCUUCAUCGGACAGGUGGCGAAAUAUCAAGUUAAUAUCAAGAGUCCUGAAUGUUUACCUAUCUACAUAUGGGACUGCGGUGUUGUGUUCGUGUGUGUUUCUGCAUCUGGUUUGUUUGCGUGUGUGUCCAUAUUAAUGCGUGCGUGUGUAUUUUUGUGUUGUAGUUUUGGUUUGGUGUGUGUGUUGUAGUUAUGUUUGGUUGUGUGUUGGUUUGUGUGUGUGUGUGUGUGUGUGUGUAAAUGUGUAUCACAGCUCUGUCUUUGGUACCAUGCUCUCUCCACCACUGCGAUGUGUCACACUAAAACGUACACUACACAACACUGGAACACACUACACAACACUGGAACACACUACAAAACACUGCAGUCCGAGGUUUCAGAAAACUAGAUUCUGGAUCACAAACACGGGACACGUCAUCGAAGCAGACGUCAUGUUAAGUAAAGUAACGUUAAAGUAACGAUAAUGGAACGGGUUUGGGGUCAUCUCUGUCGGCCUGUCACCUCUCCUCCCCACAACACUCACAACACCGCGACACAUCUCAACACGACCACCGAAUAUAGGAGCGACAAGCCUGUACAUUUCCACCGGGAGGAGAAGGGCCACAGACUGGGUAAAACCUGCGAUAACCCAGCCAAGAUCCACCGUCCGUUAAAGAAGAAGGUGGAAAGCUAUGUCCAUGUCUCUUCAGACCGUCCACUCCUGAGUUCAGACGGGUCCUGACCUUUGGUCGUUUCUUCAUAAAGCAUCGACGUCUAUUUGGUUUUCAACUGUUGGAGGUAUUCGUGAAGCCCUCGUAGAUAAAACCCUCAAAACAACCGGUAAGAAAAGCAACCCGGAGUCCACUUAGGACAGUGGUUAAAGAGAGGCCGUACGUCCACUGAUAUGGUUGGAGACCCACAGCCAAUGGUUCGAGACCUAAUAAUUCAGUGCGUCCUUACCUCUCAAUUGGCUCCGGGGUUAAACAUGGCUCAUCUUUUUCUUUAGUUUGGGCCGUAAGAGGUAUAAUUGCUGUCCUAUUUUGGUAGGCUAAAAAGUGUAAUCAACUCUUCAUCACUUGAGUUCAACGAAUGGCUGAGGAGUUUCUGUGAAUACUUUGGUGAAAUCUGCCAAUUGGUGAUUCGGGCACUGUGCGUUUUUUCCUCACGCAACAACCUCUACGUCUGGGUUGGGUGUUUACGCGACCAUUUGGACACCCCACAAACCUGAAAGUGACCCCAAUAAAUACAUAAAUUAAGUCAAUAAAUUAACACGCAAAAGGCUUCCCGUUAACAAUAAAUACAACAUCUCGCCCAAAAGAGGCUGCGAGAGAGAGAGAGAGAGAGAGAGAGAGAGAGAGAGAGAGAGAGAGAGAGAGAGAGAGAGAGAGAGAGAGAGAGAGAGAGAGUUUUAAAGCUUUAGUUCCCUAGAAUCAAGUCGUCGUCGUCAAACAAUACCAGCUCCGGGUUCAGUUACACAUCAGCAAACAAAGCAACACAACUGUCAAGAAGAAGUAGUAUCCCCCCCCCCUAAAAAAACAAUCUAUAGAAGAACUAUCGGUUACAUUCCCUAUAAAAGCUGAUGACGUCAGCUGUUCGAGGUCCCCAUCCCACCCCACGAAUUACAACUUCACACACUUUGCUUUGGUCGGGGGUCUGCUUUUAACAGAUCCCUAAAUUUCCCCCAACUUCAGCUGUGAUCGCCUGGACCCUCGUCCAAAGCGUCACGGAGACAAAAUGAGCGGUUUUGGAGUUGAGUCAAAGCAGGACCCCCCAAAGACAUUCAGAUCAGACAGAGUUUAGCACCAUACGAGAAGAUCCGGGACGUCCAUUGACGCUCAGUUCAGCCACAGAAAAGAAACAGCAAUUUCAAAAACUCGUCGUUAGGGGUCACUGUCUCCCGUUCGAUUUUGGUGUUUUGUUUACAACGUCAUACGAGAGCAGUUCUGCUCACCUGCUGCAAUUACGCACACAUGCACGCAUACACGCACACACACUCCUGCCGUUGUGCAUGGUUUGGUAUAUGUAUUUGGUAUAAGUAGUAGUACGUCUCAAAAGGGUUCGCUUUGGGUAUUCAGUUUUGGCUUUUUUCAUCAUCAUCGACAUUCUGGAUCAACGUAAACUGGAAGCUACAUUUUCACAGUUAUUUCCAACCGUUACAAAAUAAACAAACAACGAAAUAGACGAGAAUAUAUGAUAUAAAAUACAUGGCAUUAAAUCGCCCAAGAGACCCCCGCCCGCCCC